AGCUCUCCUCUCUCUCAGUGGCAUUACUUCGUAAUUCCUUUACGUUCCAUGCCUACUUUCUUACCAGCAUCCCAUUUUGUUUUUCCAAAACCAGUAGCUGCUGCCUUAGAAUCGCCUGCGUAACGUUUGAUAACCUACGUGUCGCAAUCUUGUUCGUCUGUGCCCACUAUAAAUUGCCAAAUGUUUGUGUAGGUGCAGUCUGUGUCUGUUUACUUUUUCUCUCUUUCUUUCUUCAUUCAAUGUCUAUAUCUUUUAAGAGAGGGGGAGGGAAAAGGGAGGAAGUUGAUUCUGUUACCGGUGGUCUCUAAUUCGCUUGGUGCAGGUCGGGAACUGAUUAGCUUCGCUUGCAUAUGUAUGUAUAUAUAUAUUCUCUUUAUCAAUGGCCAGAUGGCGAGAAUUGAUUGGUUGAGAUUUGACAGAAGCGAAUUGGAUCCCGCCUUGCAUCAACUGAAUCGGAGACCGCGGUGAAGGGUUGCAUGGAUCUUGCGUUUUCUCUUGGCUUACCAUUCAGAUCUCAGUGAUUAGAGCAAUAGGAUGACAUGAAGUAAAUUCAUAUUACUGUGCUCGGAAGCCAUCUUAAGCAAAAUCAGUGGAAACACUUUUAUUUAUAGCUCAUGUACAUGUGCACGCAAACUCACAUGCGCUGCUUUUUCUGCACUGGGUAUAAACUCCUUAAUGACAAAGGUUCAGGCUUCGACAGAUGCUCAUUCAUGUGGUGCAUAGGGAAGCUAUUAAGCUAUUAAGCUUAAUGCCCCUCAUUUGAUCGUCCUAUUGUCUUUUGAUUGCUUGAAUAGUAGUCAUUAUUGUGCUAUUCUGGUAUGUUUAAAAUACUUCCCUAUUGUUUCUUGUUUUUGAAUUUAUUACACAUAGUUUCUUAUUAAGUAAGAUUCUCAAAGCGAACACAAUUGAACUACUACAAUGCACUUUUAGAUGGUAGUCUUUGCCAUGUUUUGAAAUUAACUUGUGCUGAUUGCCUGAUUAUGUGGUACUUAUGGACUCUUUUGAUUUUUUUUUUUCCCUCUCAAUAUCUGUUGUUGGAACCUAUUUACCUGUGGCAUGUUGAUUGCCAAAAUAAUUGCUGUUAUUAUUAUAUGGUAUGCAAAAAAAGGGGAAAGAAAAGCAUUUGGUCAUGGUCCAGUUAAGUACCAUGUAAUGGUCCUUAAGGUCUAUUGACUUUGCAGCAUAUAUGUGGUAUUUGAAGUGCUGUUUCCUGUACAUGGUAAUCUUCUAUUUUUGCUUAAGAACCUCUUUUUGUAUUUAAUGAGUGUGUUCUAAUGUGUCAGGAGUGUUUGAUUGCAUGUCCAAAAUUCGAAUGUGGAGGCUGGUGAUAGAAUUUUAUUAUUUUAGCUGUAAAGAAUGAACUAAAAUUUCUUCUAUUUUAAUAUGAAGCUGAACUUAUUCUUCAUUUUGUAAUUCUCUUUCACAAGACAUUAUAAACACUAAACAAGUCCAUGUAAAUAACUAAAUAUGGAUCAGAUUUGGGUCAGCGCACAAACCACAUGCAUCUUAUGUAUAUUUUUAGCCAAGGCUUUAAUGUGGUGGUGGUUUAUAACUGUCACAUUAAGCCGGAGCAGGGCACUGUAGUUUAUUUUGUUGUGUUGGAGAUGAAGGAAAAUAAAUUUUCUGUGAUAAUGGUAGGGCCAUUAUGCAGGAUAAAAUCCCCUCCUAGCAGGGCCGCAGUUGACUUUUUUUGUGCAUACCAAACAGGCUAAGUGAGGAUUUAUGCCUGAAUUUCAUAAAAUUUCAGGACACUUCACUAUCUAAUUCUCCCAAAAGGAUUUAAUUUAAAUCUUCUAUUUGUUUCUGCUAUACUGACUUGUUUCCCCAGAGAAGCAGUAAGUACUUCUGCUAUGAAAAAGGUUUUAGAAAGGUUUGUGACAAGAAAUGCUCAAUUUUUCAUGCUCUUGCUAAAUUUCAGUAGAAAGUUUCCCAAUUUGACAGCAUAUGAUUUUUAUUUUUAUUUUUAUUUUCAUAUGCAUAUGCAUGCGCAUGCAUACAUGUUUUUAUGUGUAUUCUUUGACAUUGGUUUAUCUUGAAUGGUGCAAUUGAAUUGCAGAGGUCCGAACUUAACAAAGAAGUUGGAGUAUCUGCAGCAUUAGUAUUGAUUAUUCUGGCAUGAUGUGAGAGAAAAUGGUAAGAUCAGCGGCUUAUGACAGCUGUUCCGAUGCUUAAGUCAAUUGGAUAACUGAAGAGCUUGCAAGCUUGUGAAGAGAGAUUUGAUUAUUCAGUGAGUAUGCACACCGGGUACUGAUGCUGAAUGUCUAUAUAUGAGCUGAUUAUGAGCCGUUAAAGACAAUUAUCGAACGUUCACCAAAUCCCAAGAUACUCGGCCUUAGUGGGAUAACGACCCCAAUAUCCUAGGUGAGAAUAUCGCAGGUCUUAUCCAGGUAUUUUCCAGCCAUGUGCAUUACAAGCCAUUAAAUGACCGAGCCAAGUCAUCGAUCAUUCUUAAUGUUGAGCCCAUACCGUGGGCGAGUCGUAUCAGUCAGAGCCAUCUUACGGCAAGCCGUGAACUCAAGGCCUCUUUUUUAUCUGAGGAACUCAAAGACUUAUUGGUUAUGGAUAACCGAAUAAUAAAUCCAUUCUAGGGUGUACCAUAUCAUGGCUCUUAGCAGUGUCAAGGUUGUGGCACUAUUUUUCCCACCUAUUGUCUUUUUUCAUUGAUAAAACGUAAUUUUGAAUUGGCAAUGUCUUAAAUUUUAAAAUUCAUUAGUUGGAAUCAAAUGAAUAAAGAAAAAUCAUAGUGCUUUA